rnacentral:rRNA from 1 species
UCGAGAGGCUUCGGCAAUGGGGGAAACCCUGACCGAGCGACGCCGCGUGGAGGAUGAAGGCCCUUGGGUUGUAAACUCCUUUCGUGGGGGAAGAAUGUAUUCGAGGUGAAUAAUCUCGAGUAUUGACGGUACCCCAAGAAGAAGCUCCGGCUAACUCCGUGCCAGCAGCCGCGGUAAUACGGGGGGAGCAAGCGUUGUUCGGAAUCACUGGGCGUAAAGGGCGUCUAGGCGGUUCGGUAAGUGGGAUGUGAAAUGCCCGGGCUCACCCCGGGACCUGCAUCCCAAACUGCUGAGCUUGAGUACAGGAGAGGGUGGGGGAAUUCCAGGUGUAGCGGUGAAAUGCGUAGAUAUCUGGAGGAACACCGGUGGCGAAGGCGCCCACCUGGCCUGUUACUGACGCUGAAGCGCGAAAGCUAGGGGAGCAAACGGGAUUAGAUACCCCCGUAGUCC